UACAGAGGGUGCGAGCGUUAAUCGGAAUUACUGGGCGUAAAGCGCGCGUAGGCGGCUUUGCAAGUCGGGUGUGAAAUCCCCAGGCUUAACCUGGGAACUGCAUUCGAGACUGCAUUGCUAGAGUAUGGGAGAGGGAAGUGGAAUUUCCGGUGUAGCGGUGAAAUGCGUAGAUAUCGGAAGGAACAUCAGUGGCGAAAGCGACUUCCUGCACCAAUACCGACGCUCAUGUGCGAAAGCGUGGGGAGCAAACAGG
rnacentral:rRNA from 1 species